rnacentral:rRNA from 1 species
CAGUCGCCACGGUAAUACGUAGGUGGCAAGCGUUGUCCGGAAUUAUUGGGCGUAAAGCGCGCGCAGGUGGUUUAAUAAGUCUGAUGUGAAAGCCCCCGGCUCAACCGGGGAGGGUCAUUGGAAACUGGGAAACUUGAGUGCAGAAGAGGAGAGUGGAAUUCCACGUGUAGCGGUGAAAUGCGUAGAGAUGUGGAGGAACACCAGUGGCGAAGGCGACUCUCUGGUCUGUAACUGACGCUGAGGCUCGAAAGCGUGGGGAGCAAACAGGAUUAGAUACCCCGGUAGUCCCUGUCUCUUAUAC